rnacentral:rRNA from 2 species
UUAAGCGACUAAGCGUACACGGUGGAUGCCCUGGCAGUCAGAGGCGAUGAAGGACGUGCUAAUCUGCGAUAAGCGUCGGUAAGGUGAUAUGAACCGUUAUAACCGGCGAUUUCCGAAUGGGGAAACCCAGUGUGUUUCGACACACUAUCAUUAACUGAAUCCAUAGGUUAAUGAGGCGAACCGGGGGAACUGAAACAUCUAAGUACCCCGAGGAAAAGAAAUCAACCGAGAUUCCCCCAGUAGCGGCGAGCGAACGGGGAGCAGCCCAGAGCCUGAAUCAGUGUGUGUGUUAGUGGAAGCGUCUGGAAAGGCGCGCGAUACAGGGUGACAGCCCCGUACACAAAAAUGCACAUGCUGUGAGCUCGAUGAGUAGGGCGGGACACGUGGUAUCCUGUCUGAAUAUGGGGGGACCAUCCUCCAAGGCUAAAUACUCCUGACUGACCGAUAGUGAACCAGUACCGUGAGGGAAAGGCGAAAAGAACCCCGGCGAGGGGAGUGAAAAAGAACCUGAAACCGUGUACGUACAAGCAGUGGGAGCACAGAGCAAUCUGUGUGACUGCGUACCUUUUGUAUAAUGGGUCAGCGACUUAUAUUCUGUAGCAAGGUUAACCGAAUAGGGGAGCCGAAGGGAAACCGAGUCUUAACUGGGCGUUAAGUUGCAGGGUAUAGACCCGAAACCCGGUGAUCUAGCCAUGGGCAGGUUGAAGGUUGGGUAACACUAACUGGAGGACCGAACCGACUAAUGUUGAAAAAUUAGCGGAUGACUUGUGGCUGGGGGUGAAAGGCCAAUCAAACCGGGAGAUAGCUGGUUCUCCCCGAAAGCUAUUUAGGUAGCGCCUCGUGAAUUCAUCUCCGGGGGUAGAGCACUGUUUCGGCAAGGGGGUCAUCCCGACUUACCAACCCGAUGCAAACUGCGAAUACCGGAGAAUGUUAUCACGGGAGACACACGGCGGGUGCUAACGUCCGUCGUGAAGAGGGAAACAACCCAGACCGCCAGCUAAGGUCCCAAAGUCAUGGUUAAGUGGGAAACGAUGUGGGAAGGCCCAGACAGCCAGGAUGUUGGCUUAGAAGCAGCCAUCAUUUAAAGAAAGCGUAAUAGCUCACUGGUCGAGUCGGCCUGCGCGGAAGAUGUAACGGGGCUAAACCAUGCACCGAAGCUGCGGCAGCGACGCUUAUGCGUUGUUGGGUAGGGGAGCGUUCUGUAAGCCUGCGAAGGUGUGCUGUGAGGCAUGCUGGAGGUAUCAGAAGUGCGAAUGCUGACAUAAGUAACGAUAAAGCGGGUGAAAAGCCCGCUCGCCGGAAGACCAAGGGUUCCUGUCCAACGUUAAUCGGGGCAGGGUGAGUCGACCCCUAAGGCGAGGCCGAAAGGCGUAGUCGAUGGGAAACAGGUUAAUAUUCCUGUACUUGGUGUUACUGCGAAGGGGGGACGGAGAAGGCUAUGUUGGCCGGGCGACGGUUGUCCCGGUUUAAGCGUGUAGGCUGGUUUUCCAGGCAAAUCCGGAAAACUAAGGCUGAGGCGUGAUGACGAGGCACUACGGUGCUGAAGCAACAAAUGCCCUGCUUCCAGGAAAAGCCUCUAAGCAUCAGGUAACAUCAAAUCGUACCCCAAACCGACACAGGUGGUCAGGUAGAGAAUACCAAGGCGCUUGAGAGAACUCGGGUGAAGGAACUAGGCAAAAUGGUGCCGUAACUUCGGGAGAAGGCACGCUGAUAUGUAGGUGAAGUCCCUCGCGGAUGGAGCUGAAAUCAGUCGAAGAUACCAGCUGGCUGCAACUGUUUAUUAAAAACACAGCACUGUGCAAACACGAAAGUGGACGUAUACGGUGUGACGCCUGCCCGGUGCCGGAAGGUUAAUUGAUGGGGUUAGCGGUAACGCGAAGCUCUUGAUCGAAGCCCCGGUAAACGGCGGCCGUAACUAUAACGGUCCUAAGGUAGCGAAAUUCCUUGUCGGGUAAGUUCCGACCUGCACGAAUGGCGUAAUGAUGGCCAGGCUGUCUCCACCCGAGACUCAGUGAAAUUGAACUCGCUGUGAAGAUGCAGUGUACCCGCGGCAAGACGGAAAGACCCCGUGAACCUUUACUAUAGCUUGACACUGAACAUUGAGCCUUGAUGUGUAGGAUAGGUGGGAGGCUUUGAAGUGUGGACGCCAGUCUGCAUGGAGCCGGCCUUGAAAUACCACCCUUUAAUGUUUGAUGUUCUAACGUUGGCCCCUGAUCGGGGUUGCGGACAGUGUCUGGUGGGUAGUUUGACUGGGGCGGUCUCCUCCUAAAGAGUAACGGAGGAGCACGAAGGUUGGCUAAUCCUGGUCGGACAUCAGGAGGUUAGUGCAAUGGCAUAAGCCAGCUUGACUGCGAGCGUGACGGCGCGAGCAGGUGCGAAAGCAGGUCAUAGUGAUCCGGUGGUUCUGAAUGGAAGGGCCAUCGCUCAACGGAUAAAAGGUACUCCGGGGAUAACAGGCUGAUACCGCCCAAGAGUUCAUAUCGACGGCGGUGUUUGGCACCUCGAUGUCGGCUCAUCACAUCCUGGGGCUGAAGUAGGUCCCAAGGGUAUGGCUGUUCGCCAUUUAAAGUGGUACGCGAGCUGGGUUUAGAACGUCGUGAGACAGUUCGGUCCCUAUCUGCCGUGGGCGCUGGAGAACUGAGGGGGGCUGCUCCUAGUACGAGAGGACCGGAGUGGACGCAUCACUGGUGUUCGGGUUGUCAUGCCAAUGGCACUGCCCGGUAGCUAAAUGCGGAAGAGAUAAGUGCUGAAAGCAUCUAAGCACGAAACUUGCCCCGAGAUGAGUUCUCCCUGACUCCUUGAGAGUCCUGAAGGAACGUUGAAGACGACGACGUUGAUAGGCCGGGUGUGUAAGCGCAGCGAUGCGUUGAGCUAACCGGUACUAAUGAACCGUGAGGCUUAACCUU